CGGAGGGUGCAAGCGUUAAUCGGAAUUACUGGGCGUAAAGCGCACGCAGGCGGUUUGUUAAGUCAGAUGUGAAAUCCCCGGGCUCAACCUGGGAACUGCAUCUGAUACUGGCAAGCUUGAGUCUCGUAGAGGGGGGUAGAAUUCCAGGUGUAGCGGUGAAAUGCGUAGAGAUCUGGAGGAAUACCGGUGGCGAAGGCGGCCCCCUGGACGAAGACUGACGCUCAGGUGCGAAAGCGUGGGGAGCAAACAGGAUUAGAUACCCUGGUAGUCCACGCCGUAAACGAUGUCGACUUGGAGGUUGUGCCCUUGAGGCGUGGCUUCCGGAGCUAACGCGUUAAGUCGACCGCCUGGGGAGUACGGCCGCAAGGUUAAACUCAAAUGAAUUGACGGGGGCCCGCACAAGCGGUGGAGCAUGUGGUUUAAUUCGAUGCAACGCGAAGAACCUUACCUGGUCUUGACAUCCACGGAAGUUUUCAGAGAUGAGAAUGUGCCUUCGGGAACCGUGAGACAGGUGCUGCAUGGCUGUCGUCAGCUCGUGUUGUGAAAUGUUGGGUUAAGUCCCGCAACGAGCGCAACCCUUAUCCUUUGUUGCCAGCGGUCCGGCCGGGAACUCAAAGGAGACUGCCAGUGAUAAAUUGGAGGAAGGUGGGGAUGACGUCAAGUCAUCAUGGCCCUUACGACCAGGGCUACACACGUGCUACAAUGGCGCAUACAAAGAGAAGCGACCUCGCGAGAGCAAGCGGACCUCAUAAAGUGCGUCGUAGUCCGGAUUGGAGUCUGCAACUCGACUCCAUGAAGUCGGAAUCGCUAGUAAUCGUGGAUCAGAAUGCCCCGUGAAUACGUUCCCGGGCCUUGUACACACCGCCCGUCACACCAUGUGGGAGUGGGUUGCAAAAGAAGGUAGGUAGCUUAACCUUCGGGAGGGCGCUU
rnacentral:rRNA from 1 species